AAUGAACGUUGGCGGCGUGGAUUAGGCAUGCAAGUCGAGCGCUUGCCCGCAAGGGUGAGAGCGGCGAAAGGGAGAGUAACGCGUGGGUAUCUGCCCUCGGGACUGGGAUAGCUGCGGGAAACUGCAGGUAAUACCAGAUGACGUCCCCGGACCAAAGGUGUGAUUCCGCCUGAGGAUGAGCCCGCGUCCUAUUAGCUAGUUGGUAGGGUAAUGGCCUACCAAGGCAAUGAUGGGUACUGGGUGUGAGAGCACGACCCAGCUCACUGGGACUGAGACACUGCCCAGACACCUACGGGUGGCUGCAGUCGAGAAUCUUCGGCAAUGGGCGAAAGCCUGACCGAGCGACGCCGCGUGUGGGAUGAAGGCCUUCGGGUUGUAAAGCACUUUCAGCGAGGAGGAAGGGAUGUAUGUUAAUAGCAUGCAUUUUUGACGUUACUCGCAGAAGAAGCACCGGCUAACUCUGUGCCAGCAGCCGCAGUAACAC
rnacentral:rRNA from 1 species